CCUACGGGGGGCAGCAGUGGGGGAUAUUGCACAAUGGGGGAAACCCUGAUGCAGCGACGCCGCGUGUGGGAAGACGGUCCUCUGGAUUGUAAACCACUGUCCCCAGGGACGAAGAUGACGGUACCUGGGGAGGAAGCUCCGGCUAACUACGUGCCAGUAGCCGCGGUAAUACGUAGGGAGCGAGCGUUGUCCGGAAUUACUGGGUGUAAAGGGAGCGUAGGCGGGGAUGUAAGUUGGGUGUCAAAACUACCGGCUCAACCGCGGAACUGCUUUGGAAACUUUUUUGCUGGAGUACCGGAGAGAUAAGCGGAAUUCCUAGUGUAGCGGUGAAAUGCGUAGAUAUUAGGAGGAACACCAGUGGCGAAGGCGGCUUACUGGACGGUAACUGACGUUGAGGCUCGAAAGCGUGGGGAGCAAACAGGAUUAGAUACCCUGGUAGUC
rnacentral:rRNA from 1 species